CACGUAGGGGGCGAGCGUUGUCCGGAUUCAUUGGGCGUAAAGCGCACGUAGGCGGCUUUCUAAGUCAGGGGUGAAAUCCUGGAGCCCAACUCCAGAACUGCCUUUGAUACUGGAGAGCUUGAGUCCGGGAGAGGUGAGUGGAACUCCGAGUGUAGAGGUGAAAUUCGUAGAUAUUCGGAAGAACACCAGUGGCGAAGGCGGCUCACUGGCCCGGUACUGACGCUGAUGCACGAAGGCCAGGGGAGCAAACGGG
rnacentral:rRNA from 1 species